AUUCUUUCUGUGACCAUCGUGGACCAACAUAGAAAUAACUCGUAGUGCAUAACUGUAAUUGGGCAACACUAUAUCACUGAACCAUUUUUUCUUAAAACAUAGAUACAUAUGGGGCGUCAUGGACUCUAACAUACUAUACAAAAUGAACCUCUGUCUACAAAGCCUCUAAGAUUAGUUGAUAUCAAAUGGGACAGGGUACCAGCCCACCCAUAAGUCUGUAGCAAAAUUCUGAUGCGAUGACUCAUAAACUCGGCUGCACUCCGAAUGAGGUGGAGUCUUACCGAUCCUUCGUUGAAGCAAAUCUCAUCAACUAUGAGGGCUCGUCAAACCGAUUAUCUAUACCUGCAUGCAUGAAUGCAGCGUCCCCAGCAAAAGGACAUCAGUACGAAUAAUAUACUGAGUAUAUAAGGCACAUAAAUAAAUACAUAACAAACAUGUGAGGAAUAUAAAAUAAAUGAAUCAGCCUGUCCAAAUAAUGACAUUGUAUAUAGUCCAAUAUUUCAGCAAACAUUAAUAGCUAUGUCCCUUUAUUUCUUUCACCAUAUAAUUAAAACAAAAAUGAGAUAACCAUAUGCUAUGAGAAAAUUAAAAAUUUUUUUUCCAACGAAAAUUUAAAACUUUUUUUUUUUCAACCCCAUCUUUAUGGAAAGUGAUUUCCACAUCAAGUAAAAACGUACCUCAUCAGCUAAACAAACUCUUUUCUAAAGUCAAACUUGAAUUGAAUUUUCUUUUACAUUAAAAUAAAUUAAUCACUUAAAGAUACCUUAAGGUAAUCGUAAAAGUAAAAUUAGUAACAUGAACAUAAGACAGGAUUAUUUGUUACUAUUAAAAAUUUUAUUAUACCUUUCGAAAAUAAUUAUAGUGUGAUGCAUAUGCGUAUGAAUAUCAUGUCGUGCAUAAGUACAUAUUUCAUAACAUCAUCAGGCCUCUGAGGGCAUCCCAUCAUAUCAUCUCGGCCAUUGUGGGCAAAAUUCAACGUAUACCAGCUGAUCAGGUGGUGGUGUGUAUAUAACGCCGUAACCUUUUCCCAUAUCCCAUAUACAUAUAUAUACGUAUAAAUACGCGUAUAUAACGCCAUCUGGUCAUAUGUCAAUGUACAUGUAUAAAUGAAUGAAAUGCAUGGAAAUAUAUUAAUAAUCUCAAGAUACAAUACGCAGACAACUAAAGGAAAUAUCACGCAGACAACUAAAGGAAAUAUCACAAUCAUAUGAAGAAUUUGCAAUAUAAUAGAAAUACAUAACUAUCUGAGAACACAAAGGGAAACCAAAUAUGCUAGAAACAUAUCAAUAUCAGUAACCAAAAUUAAUUUGAAAUCAAAACAACACAAAUGCAUCCGUGAAAGCAUAAUAAUGGCUUGGGGCUCAUGAACUAUUCUUGAUAGAAAGAAAAGCAGAAUGGCAGAUGUAUUCACAUAACAAAUAAAGAUUCUAAAACAGAAUCAUUCCCGAUCUCAGAUGGAUUAGUAAAAAUUUCAAAAAGUUGGAGACUGAAUCCUCCAAAAAAAACUACUAGGAUCUGUCUUCUUCUUUAUUUUCUUUUACGAGUAAAUCAAUUAAAAUUAGAAAGAAGAUGGAAGGUGGCCUUCUUUCUUCCUCCUAUUCAUCUUCUUCAGAUAUCUAUUCUGGUUUCACAAAUUGACCUUUACUGCAAAUUUGAUUCGUCCUCUUCUUUGCAUACCAUUAAUGGCUAGUUAUAGUUUUGCAUAGAGAAAAGACAUGAAUGACUGGUUUGGCAGUCACGUGUUCUUUUUUCCUAGGAUUUCAUUUGUCUUUCAUCUUUUUUUUUUUUAUAUAAAAUCUAGAUAGCUCCCUGUAAAGAAUCAUGUUUUUGUGUGAGAUUCUCCACUUUCCUAUACACCUUGUAUGAGGGGAUUUCUCAUUAAAUCAAUAAAAUUACCAAUUUCAUCAAAAUAAUAAUAAACGCCAGGUAGCACUAAAAAAGGUGGAGUAGUGGUAUUUUCUCACAAGGGAACUAGUUAUAUGAUGUGAUUCAAGUUCAAAUCUGGUGGGUUCAUGGUAAGUGAAUUCAUUAUUUGACAUGCUCCAUUUAUAUCAUCAGCAAAAUGAACAUACAUAUAUAAAAUUUAAAUAUAGAGACCCCUAGUAUGCAUUGAUAACAUCUCUAUAAUAUGUUAGAUGGGGAAUCAAGAACAUAAAGACCCCAAGUAUUUUUAUGAAUAAAAUCAUUUAUGAAAGCUGUGCGUUUGCUCGUUUCUUUUGUAUUAUUUGGAUCAUGCCAAAAAAAAAAAGAAGGGAUAACCUUAAUAUACCUGAAGUAGGGAAAAAUUCGUAUCAUAUUCUUGAAAAAAAUUAUACCGUGCUCUCUUAGAAUCACAAAAUUCCGCUAUGAUUACACAGUAUAAUUUCGUAGGAGUUCCUUUGCUAACCAAGAACUCACGUUGCUGUUGUAAAAUACAAUAACCAAGAAGUUCAAUUGAAUCUGAAUCCUAAGCAUGGAACUGAAUAGUUCUUUCAGUUGCUUUUCAAGGUAAUAAUGUUCCAUAUUCUACAUCUAUAAUUGCUUGUUAUACUUGUCCAUUUUCUGUCGAAUAUCAAUCAAACUUCUAUGACAACUAUCCUCUCUUGUAUGUAGUGAUG
rnacentral:lncRNA from 1 species